rnacentral:rRNA from 1 species
GACGUAGGGGGCGAGCGUUGUCCGGAUUUAUUGGGCGUAAAGAGCUCGUAGGCGGCUCAGCAAGUCAGGUGUGAAACCUCCAGGCUCAACCUGGAGACGCCACCUGAUACUGCUGUGGCUAGAGUCCGGUAGGGGAACACGGAAUACCCGGUGUAGCGGUGAAAUGCUUAGAUAUCGGGUGGAACACCAGUGGCGAAGGCGGUGUUCUGGGCCGGAACUGACGCUGAGGAGCGAAAGCGUGGGUAGCAAACAGG